AUUGAACGCUGGCGGCAGGCUUAACACAUGCAAGUCGAGCGGGGGAAGGUAGCUUGCUACCGGACCUAGCGGCGGACGGGUGAGUAAUGCUUAGGAAUCUGCCUAUUAGUGGGGGACAACAUCUCGAAAGGGAUGCUAAUACCGCAUACGUCCUACGGGAGAAAGCAGGGGAUCUUCGGAACUUGCGCUAAUAGAUGAGCCUAAGUCGGAGUAGCUAGUUGGUGGGGUAAAGGCCUACCAAGGCGACGAUCUGUAGCGGGUCUGAGAGGAUGAUACGCCACACUGGGACUGAGACACGGCCCAGACUCCUACGGGAGGCAGCAGUGGGGAAUAUUGGACAAUGGGGGGAACCCUGAUCCAGCCAUGCCGCGUGUGUGAAGAAGGCCUUAUGGUUGUAAAGCACUUUAAGCGAGGAGGAGGCUACUUUAGUUAAUACCUAGAGAUAGUGGACGUUACUCGCAGAAUAAGCACCGGCUAACUCUGUGCCAGCCGCCGCAGUAA
rnacentral:rRNA from 1 species